GAUGAACGCUAGCGAUAGGCUUAACACAUGCAAGUCGAGGGGCAGCAUGGUCUUAGCUUGCUAAGACUGAUGGCGACCGGCGCACGGGUGCGUAACGCGUAUGCAACUCGCCUCACAGAGGGGGAUAACCCGUCGACAGACGGACUAAUACCGCGUACACUCCAUCUUGGGCAUCCAAGGUAGAGGAAAUGAACUUCGCUGUGAGAUAGGCAUGCGUCCCAUUAGCUAGUUGGUGAGGUAACGGCUCACCAAGGCGACGAUGGGUAGGGGAACUGAGAGGUUGAACCCCCACACUGGUACUGAGACACGGACCAGACUCCUACGGGAGGCAGCAGUGAGGAAUAUUGGUCAAUGGGCGAGAGCCUGAACCAGCCAAGUCGCGUGAAGGAUGACUGUCUUAUGGAUUGUAAACUUCUUUUAUACGGGAAUAACAAGAGUCACGUGUGACUCCCUGCAUGUACCGUAUGAAUAAGCAUCGGCUAACUCCGUG
rnacentral:rRNA from 1 species